AUGAUGAAUCUUUCUGACCAAGGAGCUGGUGUAUCAGAUCUAGCUGGCAGCACACAGAACACAUUAGGAAAACAAAGAGAAUGUGAGAUUAAACUGAAAGCAGGCAACAGAGGCAUUUUCUCACUGUUCUGCGUGAAGGCAGAAGAUGCUUCAAGAGGAUACAACCUCGGUUUUCUUGUUGGAACUGUGGCCUCUUCCCCCCAUCAGAUUAUUCAAAGAGCUGCUAAUGUUGAGCUGACACAUAUCGAGUUAUUCCUGAUUGAUACCAGGAGCCUGAGUCUUACACAGCAGGACAUCUCCGGACUUGCACCCAUUUGCACUUGGGUGGCAAAACAAAUAAUGAAGGCAGAAUCCCAAGGAGGGUUAUGAUAAAGCUGUGUAGAGAAGAAGGGACGAUGACUUCCCUGGGCUGGGACUGGAUAUCUGCCUGUUUGCAAAGGGAAAGAGCAAUGAUGACUUUCUAGCCAAAGGCCACUGCCAUCCUACACCUACCUGGCUGUCUGCUCGUGCUCAGGCUUAUUCCAACCCUAAAUGCAUUUAAAAAGGUAAUAAUACUGAACUCACCAAAUUGAUACAUCAGUACAUCUAUUGUAGUAUGGCUGAAAUGCAGAGUAGAGAUGCUGGGUAACAGCAUGGGUGGCACAAACAGCGGGACAGAUUUGUGACUAGGGUAAGGGCUUGAUAUUCACUGCAUAUGCAGCGUGCCCAGGAAAUCAGUAUGUUUGUGUACAGGGAAUUGCAGCUUGUCCUCUGCCCUGCUCCCAGCCUACCUAUUUUUGCACGCACCAGGCAACAUCUUAUGCCUGCUUGCAUUGUAGUGUCACCUCUAACGUCAGGGGGCUUUAAUUCAAUAGUUAAAUCUGCCCUAGGACAUCAGCAGCAAACUGUCCUAACUUGAUUUCCCUAACCCAGGGACCUCAUUCACCACUGUCUUCCCAGCACAUGGAUUUUCAGAUGUCCUUGCUCCUUUAAUGCAGUUAUGAAACAACACUAUUUUCUAUAACCUUAUACAUCUGCUGACAGGGUAGAAAAGAAACCUAACACAAGCCAAAUUUUGUAAUUUCUUCUCCAGACAGAAAUUAAUUUACCAGCAGAGGGCUCUCUUAUGAUUAAAUUUUUUUUCUUUCCUUUUUUUUUUUUUAAUUCCUUUUUUUUUUUUUUUUUCCUUUGCCAAGGUUACCGCCAGGUUUAAAUAAAAAUAAUAAAAAAAAAAAAAAAAAAGAAAGA
rnacentral:lncRNA from 1 species